GAAAAAACGAAUGCAUUUACAAGUUUUAUCACAAAUUUAUGCAUUCAUUUCAGAUAAAAUGUACAAAAAUUAUUAAUUAAUUCCUAGAAAGGAAAAAUGUUAAAUCCUAGAAAGGAAAAAUGUUAGAAAAACCUGAAAAGAGAAAUUCCUAAAAAGAGAAAUUCUAAAAAAAAGAGAAAGGAAAUAAAAUAUGAUAAUUCCUAGAAAGGAAAAAUGUUAGUAAAAACCUGAAAAGAGAAAUUCCUAAAAAGAGAAAUUCUAAAAAAGAGAGAAAAGAAAUAAAAUAUGUUAGUGAACCUAAAAGAAAAACACCUUAAAAAAGAGAAAAAGAAAGUAUAUAAUAUUGUUAGUGAACAUUAAAAAUAUAAAAACCUAAAAAAUGAGAAGAAAGUAAUAUAAUAUGUUAGCAAACCUAAAAGGGAAGAAAUCUAUAUUUUGAUUCACCUAAAAAAAGACACGAGAAUAUUAGUAUGGUGCAAGUAAUUCUUGUAUUUUUUAAUAAAUUUAUUAAACAUCCAGCUAAGUAUUAAAUGUACAGCUAAGUGUUUGUAAACAGUAAACUACAUGUAUGUGCAAGUCAUGUGUAACAGUCAGAAGGAAAAGACCACAGAAUUUUGUGAAAGGAUUAGAAUUAUUAUAACCUUGUAACCGUAGCAUUUUAUAUAGAAGCUAGUAGCAAACAAGUCUAUUUUCAGCUAAAGCAUAUAGCAAUAGCAACCUUGCUGUCCUUAUAGAAACAGCAAUCAAAAUAAGAAUACACUAUAUCUUUGUGAUAAAGCAUAUAGCAAAAUAGCACUUACUGUCCUUAUAGAAACAGCUAUGAAAAUUAAUUAAAUGUACUCAAUAGCACUGCUGUCCUUACAGAAACAGCAUGAAAAUUAUUAAAUUAAAUGUAUUAUUUUUUUGCUAAAGCAUAUAGCAAUAGCACUUGCUGCCCU